rnacentral:lncRNA from 1 species
UCAGUGCCCGGCCAGAGGUUCACGAUAUCUAUGGAAAGCAGGUUGCAAUGGCUCGGGCGGGAGAGUGUAAUUGAUGGACAAACUCAAGCACUCAAAGGCCACCCAUUUGCUUCCCACCUCAAACCUCUUAGCCAGUGAUACAGAGAGAAGAAGAGGAGGAAGAGACACCUCAGGGAGAGGGACACUGUGUCGGUUUCCUGUGGCUGCUGUAACAAAUUCGCACAGACUGAGAGCCUUCGAACAGCAGGCAUGGAUCCUCUCACGGCUCUGGAGGCCAGAAGCCCAGGAUCAAGGUGUCAGCGAGGAUGCCAGCCUUUGGACUGAAGUCCCACCCUAUGACCUCGCCUUAAUUUGAUUACGUCUGCAAAGAUGCUAUUCCAGAAUAAGGUCACAUUUACAGUUGCUGGGGGUAUGAUCGCUUGGAGAACACAGUUCAAACCCCUGCAGACACAAAUUCAUGCCUGCCCACCAGCUCGAGCCCCAGACACUGCUUUCAGGGGAGCCCAUGCCAAGGCAGCAGGUGAUCCUCCUGCCCCGGCCCCCCAAAGUGUUGGGAUUACAGGCAUGAGCCGUCGUGCCUGGCCUUGAUCCCUGUUUUCUGAU